UACAGAGGUCUCAAGCGUUGUUCGGAUUCAUUGGGCGUAAAGGGUGCGUAGGUGGCGGGGUAAGUCAGGUGUGAAAUCUCGGGGCUCAACCCCGAAACUGCACUUGAUACUGCUUUGCUCGAGUACUGGAGAGGAGAUUGGAAUUUACGGUGUAGCAGUGAAAUGCGUAGAUAUCGUAAGGAAGACCAGUGGCGAAGGCGAAUCUCUGGACCGUAACUGACGCUGAGACACGAAAGCGUGGGUAGCAAACAGG
rnacentral:rRNA from 1 species